GUACACUGAAGCAGCACAUAUACUAAAAUUGGAAUGAUACAGAGAAGAUUAGCAUGGCCCCUUUAAAGAGAAAAAAAUUAAAAAAUAUAUAUAUACAAUUUUU
ensembl:snRNA U6 U6 spliceosomal RNA